UACGUAGGUGGCGAGCGUUGUCCGGAUUUACUGGGCGUAAAGGGAGCGUAGGCGGAUUUUAAAGUGAGAUGUGAAAUACUCGGGCUCAACUUGAGUGCUGCAUUUCAAACUGGAAGUCUAGAGUGCAGGAGAGGAGAAUGGAAUUCCUAGUGUAGCGGUGAAAUGCGUAGAGAUUAGGAAGAACACCAGUGGCGAAGGCGAUUCUCUGGACUGUAACUGACGCUGAGGCUCGAAAGCGUGGGGAGCAAACAGG
rnacentral:rRNA from 1 species